UGGGGAAUUUUUCGCAAUGGGGGCAACCCUGACGAAGCAACGCCGCGUGGAUGAUGAAGUAUCUCGGUACGUAAAAUCCUUUCGACAGGGAAGAAACCGCAAGGUUGACGGUACCUGUAGAAGAAGCCCCGGCUAACUCCGUGCCAGCAGCCGCGGUAAUACGGGGGGGGCUAGCGUUGUUCGGAAUUACUGGGCGUAAAGGGCGCGUAGGCGGUCUGCUAAGUUGGAUGUGAAAACUCUGGGCUUAACCCAGAGCCUGCAUUCAAUACUGACAGGCUAGAGUUCUGGAGGGGAUAGCGGAAUUCCUGGUGUAGCGGUGAAAUGCGUAGAUAUCAGGAGGAACACCGGUGGCGAAGGCGGCUAUCUGGACAGAAACUGACGCUGAGGCGCGAAAGCUAGGGGAGCAAACAG
rnacentral:rRNA from 1 species